UUCUCUGUCAUACACUUCUUCGUGGGAAAAUGUUGAGUUUAACCAAUUGUAUCUAUCUUUGGUCGCAGUUUGUCUCCGAAUCCAAGUAAACAAAGAAAACAAGGAAUUCAAGGAUUUGCCACCAGAACGUGCUUAUGCAGAUUUUGUUCUCUGCAAUUUAGUGCUCCAUUUGGUGAUCAUGAAUUUCCUUGGAUAGAUUGACGUUCCUAAUCUCGAGUGAAUGCUGCUUAUCCAAAUAUUCUUGUCUGUAAGGAUGCUGUUAAGGCAAGCACUUUAGCAAUAUGAGAGUUCUGUUUGCCCUUUUUCAUCAUCAUUUAUGAACCUGAUAAUUUGUCAAUUAGACAUAGGUACUUUGGAUAGCUGUUCUUUGCAGUUUUAAAAGUAUGAACUUUACCUCAAUAUACGUACCCGUUCUCCCCUUGGAUUUC